AUCGGCUGACGAGUACCAAAUAAGACGAAACGCGCGUCCUGCAU
rnacentral:hammerhead_ribozyme from 1 species